AGGUGCGAUCAUACCAACGUUAAUGCACCGGAUCCCAUCAGAACUCCGCAGUAAAGCACGCUUGGGCUAGAGUAGUACUGGGAUGGGUGACCUCCAGGGAAGUCCUAGUGUUGAACCCU
rnacentral:rRNA from 1 species